GGGCCUAUAGUUUAGUGGUAAAAUAAAUCGAUGGCAUCGAUUAGUCGGGAGUUCAAUUCUCCCUAGGUCCA
rnacentral:tRNA from 1 species